GGCAGUUCUCAGGUGACACAUCCCAGAAUCGGGCUCCCUCCUCUCUGGUUCCGGGUGCAUCACCAGAGAACCGCA
rfam:Myotis lucifugus cont2.26015, whole genome shotgun sequence.